AGCUUUGCGCAGUGGCAGUAUCGUAGCCAAUGAGGUUUAUCCGAGGCGCGAUUAUUGCUAAUUGAAAACUCAAGGAGACAUUUAACAGAUCAUUCACUGUAGCAAGGAUUAUAAAAAUUAAAAAAAA
rnacentral:snRNA from 13 species